UGUACACNCCGCCCGUCACACCAUGGGANCUGCCGGUGCCCGAAGUCGUUAUCCUAACCCCUCGGGGAGGGAGACGCCGAAGGCAAAGCUGGUGACUGGGGUGAAGUCGUAACAAGGUAGCCGUACCGGAAGGUGUGGCUGGAUCACCUCCUUU
rnacentral:rRNA from 1 species